rnacentral:rRNA from 1 species
AGGGGGGUUUGAAUCAUGGCUCAGAAUGAACGCUGGCGGCAUGGAUUAGGCAUGCAAGUCGAACGAGGAGAUGUUUAUCUUCGGAUUUUUAUCUCCUAGUGGCGAACGGGUGAGUAACGCGUGAGCAAUCUGCCCUUAGGUUGGGGACAGCCCCGCGAAAGCGGGAUUAAUACCGAAUGUGGCGUUUCCUUGCAGGAGGAAAUUGCUAAAGGGUUCCUUCGGGAACUCGCCUUUGGAUGGGCUCGCGUCCUAUCAGCUUGUUGGUGAGGUAAUGGCUCACCAAGGCUUCGACAGGUAGGUGGUCUGAGAGGAUGGUCACCCACACUGGGACUGAGACACUGCCCAGACUUCUACGGGAGGCUGCAGUCGAGAAUCUUCCGCAAUGCGCGAAAGCGUGACGGAGCGAUGCCGCGUGAGGGAUGAAGGCUUUCGGGUCGUAAACCUCUGUCACUCGGGAUGAAUACAUGACAGUACCGAGAGAGGAAGUCACGGCCAACUACGUGCCAGCAGCCGCGGUAAUACGUAGGUGGCGAGCGUUAUUCGGAAUUACUGGGCGUAAAGGGUUCGUAAGGGGGUUUGCCAAGUCGGAAUGUGAAAGUCCGCAGCUUAACUGCGGAAUGCCAUUGGAAACUGGCAGACUAGAGCCGAGGAGAGGAGAGUGGAAUUCCUGGGUGUANCGGUGGAAUGCGUAAAUNUCAGGAGGAACCC